GACUUUGCAAAAUCACCUGGCUCAGCCCUCUGUCUUCAGAGUUUUUUGCUUUCAAGAACACAGAGUAUUAUAGUUCUUAAAAGCAGAUGUUAAGACGCUGACUGUAAGUUACCUGUUGAGUUAAUGAUGGAGGUAGUGAAAUACAGAUCCACUCAGCAUAGGUGGCAAACUAGUUCAUCAAGAUGGAACAUAAUAUUACAGUCUGCAGAAUUACAACUUCUGAGCUCUCAAGAGAAAGAAGUAUUUUGGACCUGGCCCCAAACUGUGAAUAGGAACUAAAAUGGGGAAAUCUGGGGGACCAAACCAAUGAGGAAUAGAGAUCACAAGUCAUGCUCAAAUCUGCAGUGAGAGUUUAAAAAAACCUAUCCUUUAAUUU
rnacentral:lncRNA from 1 species